GUCGAGCUACGGCUAUAAAUGUCAAUGUCUUAAAUUCACUGUGCCUCCUUUUAAAAAAUAUUAGCCUUAUCACGGAAAAAGCUCACCAAUGGUAUAGUUUCUGAAAUGUGGCUAUUCUUUUUUGACCAGUUUCAGUUUAUAUAUUUGAACCUCCUCUGAUGCUGUUUAAUCCCUCUAAAUGGCCCUGCACCAGCUCUGUGGGAGAUAGACACGUGGGAUGUGGCCCUGGCUGAGAAAAGGAAGCGUGCGUGGUGCUCCUUCGGUGUUAGGACAACCCAGCAGUUAUCUUUGACUGUCGUGAACACUCAUGAUGAAUGACUGGCUUUGCUGUUUAACAUUAGUUUUUGAGUCAUUUUUGUGACCCUAUAGUUUUGUUUGGGUUUUUAAAAAAAAAAAAAAAAAAAAGAACAAAAAAUAUUUGAUCUGUUUUUCUUCAGUUCUUGAUCUUUUUUUAAUCCGAGAAAACCAGGCUUUUCUGAAUCUAUUAAAUAUUGGGAAAAACCUGA